CUGAAGAAACAAGGGUUUUGAGACUGCGUCCUUCAAUUGGGCGUGUGCUCGACUCUUACUCUUUCAUAUCCCAUACACACCUUUGUGCACCAAGGGGACCCUUGUGUCCCCCUUUUUUUCAUAAAUACCGAGUUAUAUGCAUGUAUAGUUUGUAUACUCUACGGAGUUAUUAUAAAUA
rnacentral:misc_RNA from 1 species